UAGUAAGAUGUAAAUGUUGAUUUAAAAUAAUAACUUGCUUUUUUAUUUAGUAUGCUCUCUACAUUGCCACUGGAAGAGCAUUUGAUUUCAGUCAGGAAGACAUGCCAAAAAUUAGAAGAUGGUGGUGUCAUCUCUUACUUCACAAAGCCAGCAUUAAAGCCAAGACUUCGGUCUUCACUUUCCACACGAGAAGAAGGACAUUCUGUGCCCCACGGCAGU